UCCUACGGGAGGCAGCAGUGGGGAAUUUUCCGCAAUGGGCGAAAGCCUGACGGAGCAACGCCGCGUGAGGGAUGAAGGCCUCUGGGCUGUAAACCUCUUUUCUCAAGGAAGAAGAUAUGACGGUACUUGAGGAAUAAGCCACGGCUAAUUCCGUGCCAGCAGCCGCGGUAAUACGGGAGUGGCAAGCGUUAUCCGGAAUUAUUGGGCGAAAAGCGUCCGCAGGCGGCCCUUCAAGUCUGCUGUAAAAACGUGGAGCUUAACUCCAUCAUCGCAGUGGAAACUGUAGGGCUUGAGUUUGGUAGGGGCAGAGGGAAUUCCCGGUGUAGCGGUGAAAUGCGUAGAUAUCGGGAAGAACACCAGUGGCGAAGGCGCUCUGCUGGGCCAUAACUGACGCUCAUGGACGAAAGCCAGGGGAGCGAAAGGGAUUAGAUACCCCUGUAGUCCUGGCCGUAAACGAUGAACACUAGGUGUCGGGGGAAUCGACCCCCUCGGUGUCGUAGCUAACGCGUUAAGUGUUCCGCCUGGGGAGUACGCACGCAAGUGUGAAACUCAAAGGAAUUGACGG
rnacentral:rRNA from 1 species